UGGUGGCGACCGGCGCACGGGUGAGUAACGCGUAUGCAACCCAUCUAUCAGAGGGGAAUAACCCGGCGAAAGUCGGACUAAUACCGCAUAAAACAGGGACACCGCAUGGUGAUAUUUGUUAAAGAAAUUCGCUGAUAGAUGGGCAUGCGUUCCAUUAGGUAGUUGGUGAGGUAACGGCUCACCAAGCCGACGAUGGAUAGGGGAACUGAGAGGUUGGUCCCCCACACUGGUACUGAGACACGGACCAGACUCCUACGGGAGGCAGCAGUGAGGAAUAUUGGUCAAUGGGCGAGAGCCUGAACCAGCCAAGUCGCGUGAAGGAAGAAGGAUCUAUGGUUCGUAAACUUCUUUUGCAGGGGAAUAAAGUGCAGGACGUGUCCUGUUUUGUAUGUACCCUGAGAAUAAGGAUCGGCUAACUCCGUGCCAGCAGCCGCGGUAAUACGGAGGAUCCGAGCGUUAUCCGGAUUUAUUGGGUUUAAAGGGUGCGUAGGUGGUUUGAUAAGUCAGCGGUGAAAGUUUGCAGCUUAACUGUAAAAAUGCCGUUGAAACUGUCGGACUUGAGUGUAAAUGAGGUAGGCGGAAUGCGUGGUGUAGCGGUGAAAUGCUUAGAUAUCACGAAGAACUCCGAUUG
rnacentral:rRNA from 2 species